rnacentral:lncRNA from 1 species
UACUUAGUAAAUAAAUUAUAUCAAAAUGGACGGUGGAAAUUGAAUAAUCUUUAAAACUUGAGCGUAGGACUUUUAAAUUCAAGAUCAAGAAUGUUAACUUUAAUUUAUAUAGUUUAAAGUAUUUUCUAUCAAAAUUUGACGAAAUUUAGAUUCUUCUACACCGUUAAACUCCAAACUCGUCAUAAUAGCCAUUGAAAAUUGACAAUUUUGAAAUAGUUUGAUCAUAAAGUAAAUUAUGUCGAAAAAAUAUAAAAUUUUAUUUCUAGAAACUUUAAAUACCCUAGAUCAGUUUUAACGGUGUGGAUCGUUGAUUUGAACGCCCUAAGAUCGAAAACCAACACUAUAGUACCGGAGCUCGAUACUAUAGAUAGUAUAGUAGCCUAGCUCUAUAUAUAUAUAUAUAUUGUGGUUAGGGCUACUGUACUCUUAUGAAUAUAGACCCCUAUAUAUUCAUAAGUUUUGGAUCGUUCGAUGAAGAGAUGUGCGGUUAGGAUGAUGUUUCCGGUUAGGUUAAUAGUGGCCCUUUAGAGUUGAGUGGUUGCUUGGUUCAAUAGUAUGAUCUAACGGAUGGAAAUAAUCAAAGAAGUAGAUUUAAAAGCCUAAAAUGUAUGAAUACAAAAGAACAUAUACUCAUAAGAGUAUAGCAGCCGGACUUUAUAUUCUGUAUAUAUUUAAGAUUUAAUUACAGAAAACCUACUUAUAAAUAUUUCCUUAAUAUUUCAAGUUGUUAAUUUUAGCUCCCCUCGUCAGGAUUCCAUCAUUCUUCUUUAUUUCUUAUAAUUUAUACAGAAAAUACCUUUCAAAAUAAUUAAAAUAUAUUAAAAAAAAAUUUUCUUACCGAAAAAGUAAGGAUAAUUUGAUCAUUUUGCCCUCUCUAUUAACGUCGUACCCUCUAAGAAUAUUUCUCAAUCUUUAAGAAAGAAAAUAUAGAUUUUUUUAAAAUCAGAGAGAAAAAAUUUAAAAAAAAAUAUUUAUAAGAAGAUUUUCUGUAAUUUAGUUUAUA